rnacentral:misc_RNA from 1 species
GUGAUAUUCAUGAAGAAGCUGAAGGUCAUUCCAUAUAUGUACGAAAUUUACCUUUUAAUGCCACAGCUGCACAACUUGAUGGAGUGUUUAAAAAAUUUGGGCCAAUUAAGCAUGAAGGCAUCCAAGUCAGAAGUAAUAAGCAAGGAUUCUGUUUCGGCUUUGUUGAAUUCGAAACAUGGAGUUCCGUGCAAAGUGCACUUGAGGCGUCACCUAUCAAUAUUGGGGAUCAUGAAGCUAUUGUUGAGGAAAAGAAAACCAACACCCGAGUUGGUAGCAGUGGGAGAGGGAGGUAUUCCUCCGGAAGAGGUGGGUAUAGGAGUGACAGUUUCAAGAAUCGUGGGAACUUUGGUAGUGGCCGGGGUUAUAUCAGGAAUGAAUUCAGAAACCAGGGCGAGUUUUCAGGGCGAGCCAAGGGUUCAGCUGGGCACAAUGGUGAGGAUUACCAGCGGGCUAAUCAGAAUGGAAGCAGAAGAGGAGGGCGUCAGGGUGGGGUGAAAGGUAGUUCUGUUUCUACUUGAACAUAGGGCAAUG